UGGGGAAUAUUGCACAAUGGGCGCAAGCCUGAUGCAGCCAUGCCGCGUGUAUGAAGAAGGCCUUCGGGUUGUAAAGUACUUUCAGCGGGGAGGAAGGCGAUAAGGUUAAUAACCUUGUCGAUUGACGUUACCCGCAGAAGAAGCACCGGCUAACUCCGUGCCAGCAGCCGCGGUAAUACGGAGGGUGCAAGCGUUAAUCGGAAUUACUGGGCGGAAAGCGCACGCAGGCGGUCUGUCAAGUCGGAUGUGAAAUCCCCGGGCUCAACCUGGGAACUGCAUUCGAAACUGGCAGGCUAGAGUCUUGUAGAGGGGGGUAGAAUUCCAGGUGUAGCGGUGAAAUGCGUAGAGAUCUGGAGGAAUACCGGUGGCGAAGGCGGCCCCCUGGACAAAGACUGACGCUCAGGUGCGAAAGCGUGGGGAGCAAACA
rnacentral:rRNA from 1 species